GGGGGAUUUCCCGAGUGGCCAAAGGGGACAGACUGUAAAUCUGCUGGCAACGCCUUCGGUGGUUCGAAUCCACCAUCCCCCA
rnacentral:tRNA from 1 species